ACAUUAACCUAGACACGCAGAAAGGGAUAAAUCACGUUCUCUCCUUGAGUCCUCCCGCCCCCAAAACACAUGUGAACAUUUUGAUUGGCUGUGCAUUUCCCUGCUAUCAUGUGAGAGGCUGUGGCUGCGUUCAGAUACAAGCAGCACCAAAUGCAGUGGAUUUUUUUCCCCGUGCAAGAAGGUGUGUUGGGUGUGGUGACACAUGUGAGGAUGGCGGCAGCAAAAAAAAAAGAAGCUGGACAUAAGGAGCUUUUUUUCAAAGAAAAGUGUGACAGAACCUAAACAACUGUACUGUGUAUCAGACAGUGAUGGAGAGAAGGGGUCACAGGGGACAGAAGCAGAUCAGCCAUGUUGUAGUUCAGGUGAAGAGGCAAGGUCACAGGAGGUGAAUCUGAAUGUUGAUUAUAUAUAACAUAUACUAUGUGUGUGUGUAUUAUACAUGUUGAUUAUACUAAUAUUUAACAUUAUGAGGAGUGAUAGGCUGAGGAUGUAAGUGAUUCAUUAGUGUUUUUGGCAAAAGUUUUGAAUUGACAUGUCUCACUUUUUUGUCACGCUAUUUCAUCAGGUGGCAAUCCUGUCAGGUACUAGUGCAGUCAGAGGGGAAGAGUUAGGGUCAAAGGUCAGGCCUAUUAAAGGCAUUGUCCAGCCCCCAAAAAAACUUUACUCACUAUUUACUCCUUAAGU